GAGUUUGAUCAUGGCUCAGAGUGAACGCUGGCGGUAGGCCUAACACAUGCAAGUCGAACGGCAGCACAGAGGAGCUCGCUCCUUGGGUGGCGAGUGGCGGACGGGUGAGGAAUACAUCGGAAUCUACUCUGUCGUGGGGGAUAACGUAGGGAAACUUACGCUAAUAUCGCAUACGACCUACGGGUGAAAGCAGGGGAUCUUCGGACCUUGCGCGAUUGAAUGAGCCGAUGUCGGAUUAGCUAGUUGGCGGGGUAAAGGCCCACCAAGGCGACGAUCCGUAGCUGGUCUGAGAGGAUGAUCAGCCACACUGGAACUGAAACACGGUCCAGACUCCUACGGGAGGCAGCAGUGGGGAAUAUUGGACAAUGGGCGCAAGCCUGAUCCAGCCAUACCGCGUGGGUGAAGAAGGCCUCGGUUG
rnacentral:rRNA from 1 species